GUUAACAUUUGAACUCUCACAUCCUGGUUCUUCUGUUGUUUUGGUGCUGUUGCCUCCUGAUCCUGAAGCUCAUCUGUUCGUCAUAAUCAACAAAAAUGCUUCUUUAGUACCGAGCUGCUGGACUCUGAUGCCAGGAGUCACAGUUAACUUCAACAAAGUGCAGGGUGACGACCCGGUGACCUUCACUUCUGACAUCCUGACUCACCGUCCACAUAACCGGGUUACUGGCUCUGGCUCCCAGGAAGGCCACGCCGUCCUUCAGCUUCACCCUGAAAUGCACAGAGAGACGCUGGUCAAAACACAAUGUCUAUUCAACUUUGCUCCUUGAUGAAAGAAACUGAAGCGUGAGAAAAAGAGCAGCAGUGAACGAGGAGAGAGGCCGUCGGAGAGGAAGAGGAGGAGAAAAAAUGAUGAAGAUG